rnacentral:rRNA from 1 species
UACGGAGGGUGCGAGCGUUGUCCGGAAUCAUUGGGCGUAAAGGGCGCGUAGGUGGCCCGGUCAGUCUUUGGUGAAAGCGCGGGGCUCAACCCUGCGUCGGCCAGGGAUACUGCCGCGGCUCGAGCACUGUAGAGGCAGGCGGAAUUCCGGGUGUAGCGGUGGAAUGCGCAGAUAUCAGGAGGAACACCGGUGGCGAAGGCGGGACUCUGGGCCGAUACUGACGCUGAGGAGCGAAAGCGUGGGGAGCAAACAGG